UAAUCAGUAGGAAUGUGACCAGCUGGGAUAGAGGUCCUCAACUGAUUUGUAAUUCUUGCAACAAACCUGUGAGCUUAGUCUCAAAGGGAGCAAUCCAAACCCAAGAUCUGUCGGGAUGGGUGGAGUUUGGAAUAGGUGAAUCCUGAGCCUGGGACCAGCCUGACAUCAUCCUGGCUCAGCCAGAGAUACACCAGUGCCGCCCCCUCCAAGGCAGAGUUGUCUGACAUAAAGAUUCCUCAGCUGAUGCAAAUGCAAUCUCAUCUCAUCAAGGCCAAAAGGACAACGUCAACUCAUGCCAAAUGAAGAUCAGGCUUGUGGUCUCUAAGAAACUGUGAGCUUGUCUAAACCAGGUGUGGCCAAUGGAAACACUUUGCUGUAGGCUCAGGCGCAGAAAGUGAUUGACCCAACACUUUGCUGUGGGAAGUCCUGAAAGAUCUGAAGGCAGCAGUGGGGAAGGGAAGUGUGGCCAGCUGAGGGCAGAGUCGCAUCCAAACGCAACCAGAAAAACCAUUCUGACUGCUUUUCAAGCAACUAGUGUGCCCACAGCCUCAGUCUGGGCUGUUUCACGGCUGAAGCAACAUCUUCCCUAGAGUUCAGUUUUCCUGAAGGGGAGGGGGCAGACAAAGCUACAAGUAACUUGUGCCCGGAUGUUGAAGAUUCAGUUCUCGUUUGGCUCAGCCAUUCCAACAACCUACAGACACCUUCAUGUGCUGUGCUAAAACAAGGGAACAGAGAGGAGCUGAAAGUGCACUCACCCCACUGCCUAUUCUUGCUCUUUAACCACAAAUCUAUAAACAGAGCAUCUCUCCAGACUGAAUUUCAGCUGCAAGCUGCAAAGGAGUAAAGAACCAGACCAGAGAAAGAGGAGGCAGUCUAAUGAACAGCAGCGCCAUCUGGUGACCAUGAUGAUAAAGAGACCUCUGCUUGGAAUUGUGAUUUUGACCCUGAGCUCGGCUAUGUGUUAUCAGCUGAAAUGCAGGGAAUGAAUGACUGAUCAGUAUUAAGGAUCAGGCCUUUGUGCAAUCAAAUACCCUCCCAUCCCACUUAAAGUUGUGUUUGUGGAUAAAGUUCAUGCACAUUUGUUUUGCAUUGUACCUCUUGUCUACCCAUGCAAAUGAAUUCUCUCCAUUCAUCUUUAUAGGGCACACUGCAUUGGAUCUGCAUGAAACAAUCUGCCUUGCU